UGACUGCAGGCUGCGUGGCGGCAGAGGCUUUGCAGUGACCUCAGAGGGUACAGUGACACUGGAAGAAACUGCAGGAGAGCCUGCUGAAGUUGAAGGAGCUGGUCCAGGCAAAGAAGGGGGGUCAGAUGAAGAGGGAGAUCAAAUUGUCUGUUCCUGAGGUGUCUGAUAAAAAUAAGAUAAAAGGUCACAUACAUGAUGUUUGUGUGUGUAGGUUUUUCAAUUUGUAAAAGUGUUACUACUUUACUAAAUGUGCUAUGUUAAAUUUUAUCAGUUCAAUAUACCAUUGCAGUUUACCUUUUUAGUGUGAAACACACACGCCUCGACCAAUCAGAAGGCUGUUGCUAUGCGAGUGCCGACAGAAACGAAAUUUGACUGAAAGUUUCGUCAAAGCUAACACGCCGGCACCUUUCACGCAAAGGGCAGUAUGAAGAAGCUGUUCUGUUGGAUUGGCAUCCAAAAAGCAUCGAGCCAUGGGUGACCAUGAGUGGAUGUCCCGGCUGAGGAGGUUUGCCACCACAGGGGUUUGGCCCACGGAUGCUGGGAACAGACCUGCCCCUCGGCAAAAGAAGUGAUUGAAAAUUGUCCGCUCCAGAAUCGGGGUCAGACAUCUUUGUUUGGUCUGCUUGUGUGUUUCACAUUAAAAAGGUAAACUGCAAUGGUAUAUUGAACUGAUACAAUUUGAAAUAGCACAUUUAGUAAAAUAGUAACACAUUUACAAACUGAAAAACCUACACACACAAACAUCGUGUACGUGACUUUUUUUCUUAUUUUUGUCAGACACCUCAAGAACAGACAGAUCUGCCUCUUCAUCUGCCUGUCAUCUGUAAAUAUAUCUUGAUGUUCAUAUGUACAAAGUGUGUGAUUACAGUUUAUUAAACUUAAAGUGUAAGUAAUUUAUCAGCACUGAGUCAACAGACUUUGUAGAAGUAGGAUAUUAAUCCCAAUUAUGCUUACAUUAGUGUUUAAUCUCCUGAAUAUAAAAAUAGUUUAGUUUUUGUGAACUUAUAGUGAGCCUUUUAUAUCUACAAAGGAGUGGGUCCUCUCCCACAGAGGCCACCAUGUAUCUACAGGAGCUCAGAACAUAAAAACAAGCAACAUAAGUGUUUUUGUAAUUCCUUAGUGGCCAAGAAAGCCCAAAAUGCACCAGUUGAAACAAUGUUUUUUUAUCUAUUUAUUUCUUAAUAUAUUUUAUUCAAAGUUUGUAUUUUCUGUUAUCUAAAGUUUGUCAUUUUCCAUAAAGUGUUAGCGUUUGUUGUUU